rnacentral:sRNA from 7 species
GCAGGUUCGGGUCGAACGCAGUGAGACAACGGAGCCGUUUACGGCGACGGCCCGUAGGGCGAGCGAAGCGAGUCAUCCUGCACGACCCACCA